UACGGAGGGUGCGAGCGUUGUCCGGAAUCACUGGGCGUAAAGGGCGCGUAGGCGGCCUGAUAAGUAGGGGGUGAAAUCCUGCGGCUUAACCGCAGGGCUGCCUUCUAAACUGUCGGGCUAGAGCACGGUAGAGGCAGAUGGAAUUCCCGGUGUAGCGGUGGAAUGCGUAGAGAUCGGGAAGAACACCCGUGGCGAAGGCGGCUCUCUGGGACGGUACUGACGCUGAGACGCGAAAGCGUGGGGAGCGAACAGG
rnacentral:rRNA from 1 species